rnacentral:lncRNA from 1 species
GCUCUUUUUUUCCGUAUGCAAAUCGAAGUGAAAGCUUAAACAGACCGAGUUUGUGAAAACUUACGCAAACUGAGUUUGCAGCAACUUAAGUGAACUAGCUUAAAUUCUCGACAAACACCGAGAAAACCAAAAUUUGCAGAAACUGAUAAGCACUAAUUUGCAACAAGAUCAUAUAGGUCAUAUGCAAUAACCUAAUUUAGUAACAAACUAGUAAGAGAUUGUCAACAAUACUAACAAAAGUAUUCCAGAAUUUAGGUCAGUCACCUCCUUACUCGAUUUUAAAAUAUUGCCA